UACGUAGGGGGCGAGCGUUAAUCGGAAUUACUGGGCGUAAAGCGUGCGCAGGCGGUUAUUUAAGUCAGGUGUGAAAGCCCUGGGCUUAACCUAGGAAUUGCGCUUGAGACUGGAUAGCUUGGAGUGCGGCAGAGGGAGGUGGAAUUCCACGUGUAGCAGUGAAAUGCGUAGAGAUGUGGAGGAACACCGAUGGCGAAGGCAGCCUCCUGGGCCAGCACUGACGCUCAUGCACGAAAGCGUGGGGAGCAAACAGG
rnacentral:rRNA from 1 species